rnacentral:rRNA from 1 species
AUGUACAGCUACGGCGCUUCCGAGGCCAAGCAAAGGAAAGAAUCCUACUUGGCCAAGAUCAGACACUCCCGGCGCCCAGCUCCCACGAGCACUAGCCUCGAUGCCGGUGCCAGAGACAAGGAGGCCACCGCCAUCUUGGAGGAUGACGGCGGAGGAGGGGGGCUGUAUCUGGCCCUAGUGAAGGGCGAGGUGGAUGGCGGCAGAGGCAGAGACGGAGGAGGAGAAGGAGGAGGAGGAGGGAAGCUGUAUGUGGCCGUUGGGAAGGACGAAGAGAAUGGCAGGUCCAACCUCCUCUGGGCCGCUCAGAACCUCCUCGCCGGCGAUGACAAGCUUGUCUUGCUGCACGUCCACCAGCCCGAUCACAGAAUCAUGACCGGAUUUCGCACGGUCGAUGCAAGCCAGCUCCAGGAGAAGGAGCUCAAGGCUUACCGGAAGGAUGAGGAUGAGGAGAUGAACACACUUUUGAACCACUACCUCGACUUCUGCAAAGAUUCUCUCAAGAUGCAAGCUGACCGCGAAGAAUAG